rnacentral:tRNA from 1 species
GGAAGCGCAGGGGAUCCGGUGAUCCUCCCGGUCUUCAAAACCGGCGGUCGUUAUCUAGCGAUGGCGAUGGUGGGUUCGACUCCCACUCGCUUCCGCCA